GAUUGUGGGAGGAGAUAAAGUAGAAACAGGUGAUGCAGUUAGAGAGGUAAAGGAAGCUGAAAGCAAAAUCAAGUCUGGGUGCUUGUCCCAGCGGUCAAACCCAGAGCGACCAUCUCUGUUUCCGCGUCUGUAGGGGAGCCAAACCGGAAGACUGGGACUUGGUGGGAACCAAGGAGGCGGCUCUGAGCUUUGGCUGUGACUUCAUGCUCGCACCCCGACGGCCGCGGGAAAAAUCCCAGAAUAUUCUCAUCGAACACAACGGCUCUGGUCUUGGAAACUGAUAUGAAAAACCUCCUUCAGGGAAAAGGCUUUACAUCUAGAAGGAGAAAGACCCAGGUUGCAGCAAUUCCUAGGAUGCCCAAAUGAGGCUGAGUAAACAAUGGCAUGGACUUGACAAAAAGCACGAUGAAAACAAAAUAAAGAAAAGAGAGGAACCCUGGUCUUUGACGUCUAUGCCAGGAUGUGGCAAAGGAGGAACACCGAGUGUGUGGAUUGGAAGACUCUUUGACAAAGCACCGCUGGGUGAGUGUGGUGAGCUGCC